UACGAAGGGGGCUAGCGUUGCUCGGAAUUACUGGGCGUAAAGCGCACGUAGGCGGGUUCUUAAGUCAGGGGUGAAAUCCUGGAGCUCAACUCCAGAACUGCCUUUGAUACUGAAGAUCUUGAGUUCGGGAGAGGUGAGUGGAACUGCGAGUGUAGAGGUGAAAUUCGUAGAUAUUCGCAAGAACACCAGUGGCGAAGGCGGCUCACUGGCCCGAUACUGACGCUGAGGCACGAAAGCGUGGGGAGCAAACAGG
rnacentral:rRNA from 1 species